GGGCUAAAGCCUAGGUGCUUUUGUUCUUCAGAACAGAGUGCCUUCUGGCCCCCCACUUUCUAGAUGUAGUAGAUUCUUGUGUUUUGUUAUACCAUGCCAUCCCUCUUCGAGGAUUCUCCGUUGCCCUGCAGCACUGGGCAUGACAGAGUGGUGCCUAACGUGGGACUGGAAGAGAAGGUCUGCUACGAGCAGAGAAAAGAAAAAUUAAGUAGGAACCUACCAGAUCCAGCCACCCAGUACUCGUCACCCCUAGCCAUCAGGAAGUAGCUACAGAAGAGAGGACCGUCGCCCCUGUCCCAUGUAACCAAAGACCAGAAUAACAGGUUCCCAGGAGGAUGGAGACAGACCCCCAUCCCCUGAAUGUGACUGUUCAACUUGGAGACAUGCUGAGGACAUGGUCUGCAGAAUCGGAUUGAUCCAUAGAAACCAGAGGAACGCUCUGCAAUAAAAAUUUACUAGGACUGUCCUUAUGCAACAAAUAAAAAAGGGGGAGAUGUUAGAGACCACUGAAUUCUGCAGUAAACAAAUUUGGCACAUUCACAAAAGCACAACCACUCAGAGAGAGCUUUUAUCAUUACCUGCACCUGAUUUUGCUCAUUAACCUACGUCAUCUUCCCUAAUAAAAGUCAUGAGGGCUAAAGCCUAGGCGCCUUUGCUCUGUGGGACAGAGUUA